rnacentral:rRNA from 1 species
CGUGUCUCUAGUGUCAGCAGCCGCGGUAAUACGUAGGUGGCGAGCGUUAUCCGGAUUUAUUGGGCGUAAAGCGUCCGCAGCCGGUUUAUUAAGUCUAGAAUUAAAGCCUGGAGCUCAACUCCAGUUCGUUUUAGAAACUGAUAGACUCGAGUGUGGUAGAGGCAAACGGAAUUUCUAGUGUAGCGGUAGAAUGCGUAGAUAUUAGAAGGAACACCAGUGGCGAAGGCGGUUUGCUAGGCCACCACUGACGGUCAUGGACGAAAGCGUGGGGAGCAAAUAGGAUUAGAUACCCUAGUAGUCCACGCUGUAAACGAUGAGUACUAAGUGUCGGGUUACCGGUGCUGAAGUUAACACAUUAAGUACUCCGCCUGAGUAGUACGGUCGCAAGGCUAGAAACUUAAAUGAAUUGACGGG